GACGAACGCUGGCGGCGUGCUUAACACAUGCAAGUCGAGCGGUAAGGCCCUUUCGGGGGUACACGAGCGGCGAACGGGUGAGUAACACGUGGGUGACCUGCCCUUAGCUCUGGGAUAAGCCUGGGAAACUGGGUCUAAUACCGGAUAUGAUUCCAUGACGCAUGUUGUGGGGUGGAAAGCCCUUGUGCGGCUAGGGAUGGGCCCCGCGGCCUAUCAGCUUGUUGGUGGGGUGAUGGCCUACCAAGGCGACGACGGGUAGCCGGCCUGAGAGGGCGACCGGCCACACUGGGACUGAGACACGG
rnacentral:rRNA from 1 species